UACGUAGGUGGCAAGCGUUAUCCGGAUUUAUUGGGCGUAAAGAGAACGCAGGCGGUCUUUUAAGUCUGAUGUGAAAGCCUUCGGCUUAACCGGAGUAGUGCAUUGGAAACUGGGAGACUUGAGUGCAGAAGAGGAGAGUGGAACUCCAUGUGUAGCGGUGAAAUGCGUAGAUAUAUGGAAGAACACCAGUGGCGAAAGCGGCUCUCUGGUCUGUAACGGACGCUGAGGUUCGAAAGCGUGGGUAGCAAACAGG
rnacentral:rRNA from 1 species